rnacentral:rRNA from 1 species
GACGGAGGAUGCAAGUGUUAUCCGGAAUCACUGGGCGUAAAGCGUCUGUAGGUGGUUCGAAAAGUCCACUGUUAAAAAUUGAGGCUUAACUUCAAAGAUGCCGUGGAAACUUUCAAACUAGAGUAUGGUAGGGGUAGAGGGAAUUUCCAGUGGAGCGGUGAAAUGCGUAGAUAUUGGAAAGACCACCGAUGGCGAAGGCACUCUACUGGGCCAUUACUGACACUGAGAGACGAAAGCCAGG